CCUACGGGAGGCAGCAGUGAGGAAUAUUGGUCAAUGGGCGAGAGCCUGAACCAGCCAAGUCGCGUGAGGGAGUACUGCCCUAUGGGUUGUAAACCUCUUUUGUCGGGGAGCAAAAGCCGGACGUGUCCGGCUGUGAGAGUAUCCGAAGAAAAAGCAUCGGCUAACUCCGUGCCAGCAGCCGCGGUAAUACGGAGGAUGCGAGCGUUAUCCGGAUUUAUUGGGUUUAAAGGGUGCGCAGGCGGAUUUUUAAGUCAGCGGUAAAAUCGUGGGGCUCAACCCCAUCCAGCCGUUGAAACUGGGGAUCUAGAGUGUGCGAGAGGUAUGUGGAAUGCGUGGUGUAGCGGUGAAAUGCAUAGAUAUCACGCAGAACCCCGAUUGCGAAGGCAGCAUACCGGUGCACAACUGACGCUCAGGCACGAAAGCGUGGGUAUCGAACAGGAUUAGAUACCCGGGUAGUC
rnacentral:rRNA from 1 species